rnacentral:lncRNA from 12 species
GGGAGAAGCACCAGUUUGGAGUGCAGCAUGGCACUGCUCCUUUAUCUUCCUGAGGGAUAAAGCAGAGCACAUCACCAUCUGCUCAGACCUGUCUGAUGUUGGGCAGCUCAGGCACCUGCUGAAAGGCCGUCUCUCCUGGAUGCAGCCCCAGUCAAGCAACAGGCUCUGGGCAGGACAGUGCCAGUGAGACAGCAUUCACAUACACAGGCUGUAUUUAGUUAAAGAAAAAGCCAUCUAUAAAUGUGAAGAGUUCCACAGAUUUCAAGAAGAGGGAUGGGGAAGACCUAGCAGGAGCAGAGACCUCUUGAUUAUUUCCUCCCAAACUUGUAAGUGUUCUGUAAUGCCAACACACCUGGAAAUGGGAUGACAGGUGACAUGGGAUGACUGCAUUAACUUCAGCCUGGUACCUCUGAACUUCUG